AACGAACGCUGGCGGCGUGUUUAAGACAUGCAAGUCGCACGGGGCAGGUUGAGUAGUAAUACGAUUCCUGUUCAGUGGCGCACGGGUGAGUAACACGUGAAUGACAUGCCCUGCAGAGGGGGAUAGCCCAGGGAAACUUGGAUUAAUACCCCAUGGUAUCGCAAGAUUAAACGGUGGCCGCAAGGCUGUCGCUGCGGGAUUGGUUCGCGCCCUAUCAGCUUGUUGGCGGGGUAACGGCCCACCAAGGCUACGACGGGUACCUUUGGCUGAGAGGACGAUCAGGCACACUGGAACUGAGACACGGUCCAGACACCUACGGGUGGCAGCAGUCGAGAAUAAUUCACAAUGGGGGCAACCCUGAUGGUGCAACGCCGCGUGGAGGAUGACGGUCUUCGGAUUGUAAACUCCUGUCAUCCGGGAGCAAGACCUGGGGAGUUAAUAGCUCACAGGGUUGAUAGUACCGGAAGAGGAAGGGACGGCUAACUUCGUGCCAGCAGCCGCGGUAAU
rnacentral:rRNA from 1 species